GGUCUUCACAUGCUGCUCACAAGAUCUGUACUAACUUCCUCCUCGACUGCUCUGCCCAGAGGAUCGUACAACCCCCGGUGAAUGCAGCGGGGAAGGAAAAGACAGAAACAUUUCUCACACACAUACACGAAAGUGGUCCAGAGCGGAGUGGAGGGCAAGCGAGAUCGCAUCCACCGUUGAUCUGAUGUGGCGGUGGAUACAGGCUAGAGAUCCUUGAUCGGCAGAAGUGUGGACUAAGUGUCCAAGGCAAGAGGUGAAAAGAGGACAGAAGGUCGUCAGAUAAGGGAAGAAGACGAGAAAUAAAUCUCCUAACAGUUUGAAGAAGGCCCCAACCCGAAACUUCAUCGGCCCAUUCCUUUCACAGAUGCUGCCUGCGCUGCUGAGUUCCUCCAGUACUUUAUAUUUUAUAUAUUUAUUUUUCAGCCAUUUUUUGCAGUUUCACUUAAGGGCAUUUCACUUCAGAUCAUUUCACUUCCAGACAUUUCUCCUGAGGACUUGGCUAAAUAUUUGUUGAAUGGAUUUUUGUCUCCUUGUUUCUAGAUUUUUGUUUUCGCUAAUUUUGAUUGCUUUUUGUGUGGGUUACAACACCAUUUGCUUUAUGUGAAACACUAAAUCAGUUCUUCAUGACCUAGCUGAAAUAGAAUCAGGUUCCUGUAGCCAAUGAGUCUGUCAAAAUAUACAAAUUUAGUGCUGGGAUCCUUAAGAAGCGAGAGAGAGAUGAAGGCUGUACAGGUAUUGAUCACAAAAAGAAUUUGAUAUUAAAUGAGGUGGCUGACAAAACAUUGACAUUAAGCUCAACUAUAUCAAUGCACAUUUACAAAGAAAGCACAAAUGUCAAAUCGUUGACUCAAUUUCUUGGCAUGUGCAGACAAAUUGUAAAUCUUGACUAUAUUUUCAGAAAUUAGACAAAGACUUAACUUGGCAAAUUUACAUCAUGGAAACUUAAUUUUCCAUUGGUCUGAAUUCUAAUGUUCCUUACUAGCAUGGGAUACUAUAAAUAUUAUUGCAUAUACAUCUUCUGCUUGAAACAGACAUAAGAAUCGAACAGUUUGUUCACACAGAGUCCAUGCAGAACAUGAAGCACCCAUUAACCCCAUUCCUAUAAUGCCAUUUUAUUCUCCCACAUCUCCAAGAACACAAUGGCACCAUAUCAAGUGUGCAUAAAUGUCACCCAAUGGAACUUGGACAGUUCUUAAAACAUGAAUAAAUUAGAAAAAAAACUAUUAAAAAUAUUUAAUUUCUUGUCACCUUUUCAAAAAACUUGUUAGUGAGACAUGACCUACUGCGUAUAAAGCCACACAUGCUAUCCCUAAUUAGCCCUUUCACCUUCAAAUGGGAGUAAAUCCUAACUUGAAGAAUUUUCUCCUGCAGUUCCCUACCACUGAUGUGAGUCUCCCGACCUAUAGUUCCUGGAUUCUACUCUACUUCCUUUCUUAAACAAAGGAACAACAUUGGCCUCUCUCCAGUCCACUGGGAUCUUGCUAAUGACUAGAGAAGAAAGAAAGAUCCUUGUCAAGGCCUUCACAAUCUCCUUUCUUGCCUCCCUCAAUAACCGAGGAGAGAUCCCAACAAGCCCUGAAGACAUAUGUUCUUCAAGAGCAUCAGCCCAUUUCCUUAUCGAUCUCAAACCUGCCCUAACAUAUCAUCAAAAAGGAGUUACAGAAGCCUGAGGACCAUAUCACCAGGUUCAGGAAUAGCUACUUUCCUAAUAACAUCAUAUGUUUGAACUGACCUGCAUAACCCUAAUCUUACCUUAGUGAUGGAACAUUGCAGACCAUCAUUUGCACUACCAGGGACAUGUUUUGUAAUUGUGUUUUUGCACUAAUUUAAUGUAUUGUUUGUUGGAGUCUUUUCCUUUUCACUGUCUUAUAUAAUUUGUGUGAUUUAUAUAUAGUUUAUGUAUAAUUUAAGUUUUACAUGGUGUUUGAAUCUGUCCCUCUAAUACUAUGGAAACCAAGAUUUACCUUGUAUUUGUUUCUUACUGUAUUUGUAUAUUUAAAAAAAAAAAAAAACUUAACUUGAGCAAGACGGGCAGACGUAAUGAUUAGUUUGGCACAUAUAGUGUUACAGCUGCAGAGAAAGUGCAGAUAAUAAAAUACAAAUGCUGCGACAAGGUAGGUUGGAAGAUUGAAAUUCAUCCUUAGCCCGAGAGAUCCAUUCAAGAGUCUAAUAACGAUGUAGAAGAGCAAACUUGAAGAGCAAUUUUGAAACUCCCUCCAAGUCUUUUAACUCUAUACUUACACCCUUCAGUGCAUAUACCACAGCAGCUAAUUAAAAACUGAAUUAAAGUUGCAACACUAUUAUCCCUUACUUUCAAAACCCUGCUCACCUGAUGGCUACAUCUGGUUUUAGUUCUGAUUGAGACGUAUCUUUAUUUUCCCACCAAAAGUUAAUGUCAUGGCUAUCUGCUCAUACACCGAUAAAGUACAUUGUGGGAAUAUGACUAUCAACUGAAUCCAAUAAUUUUUGGUCUUUCCAGAGCUUUCAGAAGAUUGGUGAUGUCUUAUAAGAAUAUUAAUUUUAAAACCGUAUCUCCAAGUAGUUACUAUUUUAGCUGAUUUAUGACAUUUUCAAAAGAAGGCAGGAAAUUGAGCAGAUCAUUCAUUUCAUUGCUUCAAAUUCUAAAAUCAGUUAAGAUCACAUAGUGGGUAUUAAAUAUUGUGAAUCAGGUUUCAAAUAUAUCCAAGGAAAAAUACAGUAACUGAAUUCACAGAAAGAUUUAAUGGUAAAUGUGAAGUUAUUGUUUAUACUCAUUAUUCUAGUUUUAACUAGUUUAGACCUAAAUCUUAUCAGUUGCAUGCAUCAGUUGGUAGAUGCAUAAUUACUUUGAAUCAUUAUAGAUAAUGUGAAGCAGAUUUAGGCUUACUUUCAAUGGGAGUCUAAAAAUCACUU